rnacentral:rRNA from 1 species
AGGACGAACGCUGGCGGCGUGCUUAACACAUGCAAGUCGAGCGGAAAGGCCCUUCCGGGGUACUCGAGCGGCGAACGGGUGAGUAACACGUGAGCAACCUGCCCUUAGCUCCGGGAUAGCUCCGGGAAACCGGAAUUAAUACCGGAUACGACCACGGCCGACAUCUGCUGUGGUGGAAAGGAUUCCGGCUAAGGAUGGGCUCGCGGCCUAUCAGCUAGUUGGUGGAGUAACGGCCCACCAAGGCGACGACGGGUA